rnacentral:rRNA from 1 species
UACGGAGGGUGCAAGCGUUAUCCGGAUUCACUGGGUUUAAAGGGUGUGUAGGCGGAUACUUAAGUCAGUGGUGAAAUCUCCGGGCUCAACCCGGAAACUGCCAUUGAUACUAUAUAUCUUGAAUUCUGUUGAGGUGGGCGGAAUACAUCAUGUAGCGGUGAAAUGCUUAGAUAUGAUGUAGAACACCGAUUGCGAAGGCAGCUCACUAAACAGCGAUUGACGCUGAGGCACGAAAGCGUGGGGAUCAAACAGG